rnacentral:rRNA from 1 species
AGAGUUUGAUCCUGGCUCAGGACGAACGCUGGCGGCGUGCUUAACACAUGCAAGUCGAGCGAUGAAGCUUCCUUCGGGAAGUGGAUUAGCGGCGGACGGGUGAGUAACACGUGGGUAACCUGCCUCAAAGUGGGGGAUAGCCUUCCGAAAGGAAGAUUAAUACCGCAUAAUAUAAGAGAAUCGCAUGAUUUUUUUAUCAAAGAUUUAUUGCUUUGAGAUGGACCCGCGGCGCAUUAGCUAGUUGGUAAGGUAACGGCUUACCAAGGCAACGAUGCGUAGCCGACCUGAGAGGGUGAUCGGCCACAUUGGAACUGAGACACGGUCCAGACUCCUACGGGAGGCAGCAGUGGGGAAUAUUGCGCAAUGGGGGAAACCCUGACGCAGCAACGCCGCGUGGGUGAUGAAGGUCUUCGGAUUGUAAAGCCCUGUUUUCUAGGACGAUAAUGACGGUACUAGAGGAGGAAGCCACGGCUAACUACGUGCCAGCAGCCGCGGUAAUACGUAGGUGGCGAGCGUUGUCCGGAUUUACUGGGCGUAAAGGGUGCGUAGGCGGAUGUUUAAGUGGGAUGUGAAAUCCCCGGGCUUAACCUGGGGGCUGCAUUCCAAACUGGAUAUCUAGAGUGCAGGAGAGGAAAGCGGAAUUCCUAGUGUAGCGGUGAAAUGCGUAGAGAUUAGGAAGAACACCAGUGGCGAAGGCGGCUUUCUGGACUGUAACUGACGCUGAGGCACGAAAGCGUGGGUAGCAAACAGGAUUAGAUACCCUGGUAGUCCACGCCGUAAACGAUGGAUACUAGGUGUAGGGGGUAUCAACUCCCCCUGUGCCGCAGUUAACACAAUAAGUAUCCCGCCUGGGGAGUACGGUCGCAAGAUUAAAACUCAAAGGAAUUGACGGGGGCCCGCACAAGCAGCGGAGCAUGUGGUUUAAUUCGAAGCAACGCGAAGAACCUUACCUGGACUUGACAUCCCUUGCAUAGCCUAGAGAUAGGUGAAGCCCUUCGGGGCAAGGAGACAGGUGGUGCAUGGUUGUCGUCAGCUCGUGUCGUGAGAUGUUAGGUUAAGUCCUGCAACGAGCGCAACCCUUGUUAUUAGUUGCUACCAUUAAGUUGAGCACUCUAAUGAGACUGCCUGGGUAACCAGGAGGAAGGUGGGGAUGACGUCAAAUCAUCAUGCCCCUUAUGUCCAGGGCUACACACGUGCUACAAUGGUAGGUACAAUAAGACGCAAGACCGUGAGGUGGAGCAAAACUUAUAAAACCUAUCUCAGUUCGGAUUGUAGGCUGCAACUCGCCUACAUGAAGCUGGAGUUGCUAGUAAUCGCGAAUCAGAAUGUCGCGGUGAAUACGUUCCCGGGCCUUGUACACACCGCCCGUCACACCAUGAGAGCUGGUAACACCCGAAGUCCGUGAGGUAACCGUAAGGAGCCAGCGGCCGAAGGUGGGAUUAGUGAUUGGGGUGAAGUCGUAACAAGGUAGCCGUAGGAGAACCUGCGGCUGGAUCACCU